rnacentral:rRNA from 1 species
GACGAACGCUGGCGGCGUGCUUAACACAUGCAAGUCGAACGGAAAGGCCCUGCUUUUGUGGGGUGCUCGAGUGGCGAACGGGUGAGUAACACGUGAGUAACCUGCCCUUGACUUUGGGAUAACUUCAGGAAACUGGGGCUAAUACCGGAUAGGAGCUCCUGCUGCAUGGUGGGGGUUGGAAAGUUUCGGCGGUUGGGGAUGGACUCGCGGCUUAUCAGCUUGUUGGUGGGGUAGUGGCUUACCAAGGCUCUGACGGGUAGCCGGCCUGAGAGGGCGACCGGCCACAUUGGGACUGAGAUACGGCCCAGACUCCUACGGGAGGCAGCAGUGGGGAAUAUUGCACAAUGGGCGGAAGCCUGAUGCAGCAACGCCGCGUGCGGGAUGACGGCCUUCGGGUUGUAAACCGCUUUCGCCUGUGACGAAGCGUGAGUGACGGUAAUGGGUAAAGAAGCACCGGCUAACUACGUG